rnacentral:pre_miRNA from 1 species
GGGGGACUGCAGGAUCCUGGGCUGUGUCCUCGGCGCCCUGGGAUCCGGGGCCUGCGCUGCUGGAAUCACGCUCUGGGGCUGCAGCUCCU